GCCGGGAAGGGGCGGUAUUCGGAGGGGGAGGUCCGAGAGCCCAGUGGGCGCUACUGAUGCCGACGGCAGGCCUCCCGGGAAGUUUCGGUAUUCCGCUCAGUGGGAGGCCUAUAACGGAAUGGCCAGCUCUCCCUGUCCUUGGAUUAAAGCAGCAAGUCGUCCUGCGGCGCUCGCUGCCCUUCGGCUGAGGCCGGACACUGGCACAAGGGUGUCCUCGGUCUGAGCCGUGGCCCCCAUGGACGGCUCCUGCCCGCGCGGACCCCUCGGCCGCCCGGCCGCCACCGCAACGGGGGUACACGCCCGUCUCCCCUGAGACCGGGAGCCACGCGUGCCAUGGCCACGGGUGGACUUGCUUGACUUUAUUUCGCCCCAGGCGCCCUUUGAGCGUCAGGAUAGCCACCUGGACUGCCGUGGGCCCGAACAGGCUUAAAAAAUGGGUCCCCGACUUCAGACAUCGAUCAUCCUCCUGAUCCACACUCCUGAAGGCAGAAGAACAGCCACACCUCUGAUCCUGAGACUUUGGUUGCCCUCCUCCCGCUGACUCGACCCAACCAGACAGCCAGCCACCCAAAGACGGAUCCGCCGCUGCCCGCAGAGGAUGCCACUCUUCCCCGGGGACCCCGCUAAGUCUGAGCCCACGGCACCAGGAACCUUGUGAGUAAUAAAGUGUUGUGUGAUUUGCAACUGCA